GGAACUGCAGGUGUGGCAGAGCCCAAGCGGCUGGCGGGGGAGAAACCAAAGUGGCUGGCGGAAGAAAACUACACGCUACAGGGGAUCCCAGCCUCAAGCUUUCACAGCAAGCACUUUGUCCACCGAGACAUCCUGCUAGUCCAGGAAUACAUCUUAAAUGCAUGAUGGGAGUUCCCUGCCGCUAGGAAUCUCUGUAAGAUAAUUUCCAAUGCUGCAUAUGUGUAUAAGGCCUCGGGCCAUCUACACAAAGGUUGAGCUGCCCCAUGUGCUGCUGGAAGCCAGCGUUCUCCUGGAGGCACUGCUUUCUGGGACCCAAUGCUGACCAUUGUUUCACACUGCUGGGUUCUCAGUGUCACCAAUCUCUUCAGGAACAUCAAAACUGCCCUAUCUGGCCCCUGAAUGCACCCAUGACCUGGUGUUCAUGGGUACAGAUGCCCAAUACUGGCUCCCAAAUUUUAA